CAUUUCAUUUAGCCCUAACACUCUCUCUCCUUCAGCCGCUCUCUCUCCUUCCAUCACACCUCCCUCUCCUUCCAUCACCGGUCUCGCCCUUCCAUCACCGGUCAUCACAGCUCUCUCUCCUUCCAUCACCAGUCAUUACAACAAUCUUGUAAUCUGUUUUCUUUUUUUUUUACUUUGAUUCUCUUGUGCUCCAUUUGGUUGCUGAGGAAACGCCCAGAAAUGGAAAGAAAAUGAAGAACGACUGAAGCAUAAGAAUGAAAAAUUUCUUUCCUUUUUGUCUCCUCAGUUUUCGUAGCAACCAUAGCGAGCAGUAGAAUGAUUUCCGUAGCAAACUCUCUCUUCGUUGAUCUCCAUAUAUCUAUAUAAGUUGGGCCAUCGGAGUUCAAUUUUUGAAGAGGAUGCCUACGAACAGGCUAGGGAUUUCAAUUUUGUUGAUGUAUUUACGAGAUUAGGGUUAGGGCUUUGAUGUGUAGUACAAAAUUGGGGUUAGGGUGGGGCGACAACGCCAGUGAACCAGGUGUGGCAAGGCAUGAGUUUCAGUGAAGCUCUAGUAUUCCGACAAGGUAUGAGUUUCAGACAGAGCAACGGUGGCACCGGAGGAGACUUGACGAUUAAGAAGAGAAAUGUAAGAUUCUUCUACCUGUUUCUAUUUUUGUUAGUCUAAGUUACGAUUUUUAGAUCUUUUUCAUUUUCCGUGUGGUUUCAGUCUAGCAUAUUUUAUUUUAUUUUUAGUAUUUUUUUAUUUUUUAUCGAUAACAUUUAUACAAAUUUUGCUGAUAUAUAUAUAUAUAUAUAUAUAUAUAUAUAUAUCUAUAUAUCAUUUUCUGUGCGUAUCGGCCUUGCCGACGUCGGAGGAGAAGUCCAGAAUUGCCACCGCCAUUCGUCCCAGCCCUACACACCUCAACAGGCCUAGGGGAAGAGCUCUAAUUUCAAUUCUUGAUGGAGGAGAAGGCUACUGCAAUUCAACAAAGUAACAAGCUUCGUCAGGAACUGUUGAGGGAUUCAUAUGACUUCAUUCUAUACUAUUUUAUAUUCUUCUUUAUUAUUUUUUCUUAUAAUUGCAUCAUGCAUUCAUGAGUUUUUAAGUUGGGAUACUGCUAAUGUCCUUUCAACAUGGUAUCUUUGUCUUCCCUGCCUUAUGUCCAACUUAUUUUUUUCAGUGUUUUGAUCAUCAUGUAUAUCUUUAAAUGAAUAUAUAUCUAUAUCUAUGUGUGUGUGUGUGUGUGAGUGAUUUAGCAAAAGGGCAUAAGGCUAGAAAUACGUAAGUUACAUUCUAUAAAGAGUCAUUGUAUGGGAUAAAGCAAUGUUUAGGAAUACCACUAGAGGACCAAACAGCUCUAUAAUAGUCCCAAAGCCUAUGGUGAUUUCUGAACCGUGUUGAUGGCAGUAAUUUGAGGAAAGAAAGCUUGGUUUCCUAAACUCGUCUUUCUCAGAUUGGACUCCCGACGGUGUCGAUCAUUCCGUAAGCGACCAGCAAAGAGGUUAGGGUUUUCAACCAACGACCAUAAAUUGAAGUUGAAACGAGCCACCAUGGACGAUGGAUUGAUUAUCACCAGUUCAUUUGGAGCAGAAAAAUCAGAAUUUUUAUGAUUCCAUUCUAUAACAAAGGUCAAAUACUAUGCUUCUUCAUUUUUCUUAUCACCAUGUAUUAGGGGUCACGUGCCUUGCCAUAUUUUUAUUAUUAUUGUGCAUAAAUGGAGGUUGGAAAAUUAUUACGGAUGGAGUUUGGUUUUCAUUCAUUGCAUAUUACGGGUGUAUAGGGGGUCACGUGCCUUAAGUGACCAUUUUUGCUGUUUUCCGAUUUAUUAUUUUUAUGCACGAAGGAUUGCUUAGGUCUAUUAAUGCUAGUUGGGUUUGAUAUUGGGCUGAACAGAAAAUUUAAAUGUGAUUUUAUUUAAUUAAUACAACCAAUCAAGCCAGUAAUCAUCCAAACUUUAGACAAAGAUUAAAGAAGAAUAUCAACCGUGAAUCUUGAAAACACUAAACAUUAUAAUUUGAUAUGUCAUUAAAAUGUAAUGCUACCAAGAGUCACGAGUGAUGCGAGAGUGAUCUAGAUUAUAGUAGUUGGCUAAAAAGGUUUAAUUAAUUUUGGUGAUUACGCAUGUCAAGCCCAUCCUUCUAUGAUGAUGUGAAACAAAAUUUCAAAAGCUGUUCAACAUUUUUUGAAAAUGGAAUGCUCAUACCAUAUCUGCUUAUACACAGUAUACUACAUUCUAUAUAUAUAAAACAGAGUCUCUUAAUAGUUGAUUAAUAAAAACUAAUUAUAAUUAUGUUUAAAAAAGAUUAUUUUAAUAAAUUUAUUAAUAGUUGGUUCCAAAAUGACCAACUAUGAUAGGAAGUCUUCCUCUCAGCUUCUCCUCAAUUAGUGUCUUCUUAAGGCAUCCAUUUGUUUUAUCUGUUCUUAUUCAGCGGUCAACCGAUUCUGUCCACUUUAAAAUCUCAUUUUUAGCUAUGCUUUUUUAAUGCCCAAUAAUAUCCACCAUCAAUCAUGCAUUGCUUUGUAUUCAUUUUAUAAAAUCCCAGCUUUAAACUCUAUCAAGUAUUCAACAUUCGGAUAUGUUGACAUGAUAACUAUGUUGUAAUAAUAAUGAUGCAUGGACACAUAAUACACACAUAGAUCUGUCAAGUAUUGGACCAUUAAUUUUUGGGUUGAACCUUCUUCCUUACACAUGGGGCUUAGACUCAAACGACCCAACACAUUAGUGACUUGUUUCAAGAAACGUAUCUAAACUAAAUCCAUAAUACUACUAACAACAAUGUUAUUUGGACCUAAAAUGCCAGCCAAAUGGCAGACCUACUUCAUUGCAAUGAAGUGGACCCGAUUAUCAUUUUUCUAAUAUUUAUUCGCGCAAUGUCAAACUGAAAAGUCAACUAUUUGUGACAGAUAGUAUGAAUUCACACUAUUUACACUUUUACCGAUCUGAACUUUGUAAUUAUUGAAUAAUUGAAAUUCAGAAGAAAUUAUACAUUGGGACGGGACGAAAUUGAUUGGAUGACUACUAGCUUGAAUGCAUGGAUAACUUAAAGUUUGAAAUAUUGCCCAACCAUGCAUUUCAAUGUCCAAAUCAGGCCUUUGAGGAAGUUAAAUGUGAUAUUAUUCAAUUAAUACAACAAAUCUCCACACGUCAGUGUUUUGUUCCCUAGCCUUCAAAGAAGGCUAACCCUUAAGAAAAUACUAAAAAUAUUACUAGAAGUACAUAACAAAGAUAAGGGAUUAAUGUAUAAAUUAAAGGAAUAAAGUAUAGGAGAGAAAGGUUUUCAAGAUUCCUUUAAGACUAUCUUGUUAAAAAAAUUAUAUUAUCUAAUUAGUAUAUGUUUAAUAGAAAGUGAUAGUUUCAAGAAGGGACAGGUUUUUGUCAAAAUCAAUGGAUCACAUGCUUAUUUUUGGACUGUUCUGCUAUGUGAUUCUCUGUUGAAAACACAAUUCAAUCAUGGCAGGAUUUGCAACUGAGAGCAAAUCAACACAACCUACUGGACUUGAUUUCUUGAGGGUUUUUUUGCAUCUAGUUAGUGUUUUUAGACUACAUAGACGAUUAUCAACCUAGUUAGGUGAAGCUUGAUUAUUUGUAUUGUGGGUAAUUUAUAUUAAAAGAAAACAAAGAAUAUAUUAUUAAUACACAAAACUUGUUCACUGAGUAAUUAGUCAAGUGAUUCAAAAAUGCCAUGGACACCUGAUCACUGAGUGUAAUACAAUCCUAAAUUUAUGGUUCGAGCCGGCUAGAAUAUGUGUUCUCUUUAUCUCAUGAAUAUAAAGAAAUUUUGAUAUUGUCUGUUCUCAUACAUACUUGCAAAAAUCUAGUAUUCAAUUAAGAAAAAUUAUCUGAUUGAAAUAUUUUUGGCAGAUCUGAAGAAGAAAUUCUUAGCAAAAUAUUUGUGUUUGAUUUAUAAAUGAUAAUCUUGUUCUUUCGCUUUUUUAUUAGCAUUAUGAAUUUGAGACUUGUUUGAUGCAACUUCUUCCUUGGAUUUUGUAUAGUGAGCUGAUUUUUUGACAAGUGCAGAUUGAACCUCAAGUGCUAGAAGGUUUAUUAAUUUUUCAACAGAAGUGCUAGGAAAUUGAUAAUUUUCUUGACAAGGGGAUUUACUUCCUAUUUUGGAACAUUGAUAAAUGUUGAAUUGUUUUGGCACAUUGAUAAAUGAUGAAUUGUAAAAAUGUUUUAA